rnacentral:lncRNA from 12 species
CGUGAUGUGCCAGUUUGUGAGGUGGGAGAUUGUGUUAAGGCCUGUGCACACUGCGGGGCCUUCAUGAGCCCUGCUAUGAGCUGGCAGGACUGCGGGCAAAGAUUCUACUUACCUUUCUAAAGCAAACUCACAGAAAGCCCGAAGAAACUGUCCGAUCAGAGCUUGGAACUUCCUGUGGUGGAGGGCCUUCUGGUGCCACUGGAAAGACUGCAGACACAUACUUGAAAGAGUUCUACAGGAAAUUUCACUUUUCAACCCUGAAUCGGAAGAUAGAUCCAGCUCACAAGAACUUCCUGUUUCUGCAGGACUGAAGAUUCUUCAGAAAGGAGCCUUAAUAUGAGACUUAAACAUGCUGCAGCGUCUCCAGGCAAAUUAUUGAUCUUCCAUUCCUCACCUGUUUCUGAAGGCACAAAUCAGAAAAUCUCCUCUGGUUUCUUCAGCUCUAGCAAAGUGAAGUCCAUCUUCCAAGGACCAGAUUCCUCGAUCCCAUUGGCUAAAAAGUUUGUCACUCAAGGCUGCAGUGUGCACAUCUUUGUGUUCUCCCAUCAAGAAGUAGGCGGGGCUUGGCCAGGGCACAUCCCCUUUCUCACAGUGGGUGGUGUCAUCUGCUAUAACAGUCUACAGAGAUGCUAUUAUCUGGUUGCUAUGGCUCCUUCAUCGCCGAUCCUGACUCCUGCUGUGUUGCCAUGGCAGUGCUUGAUUGGCGCACAGCUCUGGCAUUUGAGUUCACUCACAACAAGUCUUUGGAUGAAACGAGGGGUGUAG